UCCUGUUUCUGAACUACUUUCUCCAAACCCACAGAGCUGCCUUGGUGGAAAGAGCUAGGCUUUUCCAUUGCCCAUGCCAUGUCCUUGAGCUCCUUUCUGCCUCUCCAACUGUGCUCAUGUGGGGACACAGUUGCAGGGGCAGGUUUGGGUAGUCACAGGAACCAGGGUGUGUCCUGCUGCAGAGGCCUCAGGGCCUGGCUUGUGCCGGGAGAUCCACGUAUCCAUCCACGUAUCCAUCCACGUAUCCAUCAGUGAUCUGGAGGAAAGCCCUGGGUUGAUAGCCAGAGGCUGGGAAAGAGCCCCUGUGGCCUCCCUCUUUCCCUUCCACGGGGCAGUGCAGCUGCACACUCCUACCCAAGCCUGCAGGCAGUCUGCCACAGGCUGAGGGCCGGUUUGUUUCUUCUACAUGGAAACAGUGUAAGCCCCUAAGAGCAGGACCCUGGGGUAAACAGUCAGUUCCAGGAUGCCUUGCCAGGGUGUCUCAACACUCAGAGACCCAGAACCCCAGGGACCUGUGAGAGGGGGUUCAUGGAAUAAAUGUGAGCCCACUAUUUUUCUUCUUUCUCUUCAUGGAGUUGCCCUUGGCAGAGCGACAAGCCUGGUCGCUAAUCUUUCUGUCUGAAUUACACUCGGGGCAGGGAGAUGGUAGUGUAUUCUCAAGGGCCUUAAUCAGAGCCUCUGAACCCAUGUGUAAUAUCAUCAGGGCUUGGCUUCUGGGGCCUGGUGGCCCAGAGGUUAGAGACUUGAAUGUAGGCCUUCUCUCUUGACAGAAGCACUGAAUUGCCUCAGACCUCCUACGGUAGGGGUGGGCAGGAGGGGAGAGGAGGCCAUAUGUAUUUGGCAACUUUCUUGGACUCAUUCUCACAACCCAAUCCCUAGACUGAUCAUCCGCGGCCACCCUUGUGACAUGACUCUGGCCUCCCUUGGCCGUGACUUGCUCCUCUGGGCAGGCAGGAAAUAGAGGGAGUGGGAUGGUAAUUCCUGAUUCACUUAGUUGACAAGCAUGUCACGCGAUGAGGUGGGUCUCUGUUGUGAUGUGGGACGAUGCCUACAAUGUGCCAUUAAGUAGAUAAAUGUAGUGGUACAGUAGUAGAAGUUAUGGUUUAAUUACAUAGCAAAACAAACUUAUGCGCAUGGUAGCAUGUGUAAGGAUGUCAUACCUACACAUGGUGUGGGCACAUGAUCUCAUUUAGGAGUUCUCUCAGGGCAGGAAGGGACUUCAGUGCCCACUAGCUAUUCAGAACCUGUAUGCUUGUAAUUUCCCACUUUCAAAUCCAACCCAUCAGGUGGGCACAGUGGUAUAUGGCUAUAAUUCCAGCACUUGGAUAGUGAAGGCAGGAAGACCAUGAGUUCAAGAUCAUCCUUAGCUACAUAGUGAGUUCAAGGAUAGCCUGGACUACAUGACACCCUGUCU
rnacentral:lncRNA from 1 species